GCCAGUGUGGUGCAGUGAUUUGAAUGUUGGAUUCGGGCUCUGGGAAACAGGGUUCAAAUCCCUGCUCAGUCA